CUUAAGGUCAGCGUGGAUCAGACCAAGACUCUUGAGCUUCAUCAAGGCUGUGGCCACCUGCUGCAAGAUUGGUCUGAUGUACUUGAGUGGCAGUGGGCUAAAUUUGUUUUGCUUUAGAAAAUCAUAUAAGUUCUGCUCCAACAUUUCAAAAACAAGGCAGUAGGAGGGGUGGUUCUUCAAGAUUUUAAUAGCCACAAUUUCCUUGGUGCUCCUCUUCCAGCACUUAGCCACCUGUCCAAAUGUCCCCCGGCCUAGGAACUCCAAGACUUCAUAGCUAUUGGUCAUAGAGCAAAGGAUCUCAUGCUGGACCAGCUGGUAAUCCCCUUCUCCGCUGGAACUGCUACUCUUUGUGGUCACAGUGGUGGUUGUGGCAGCAGCACCCACCACAGUCCUGUUUUGCAGCAUGAGAGGGGGAUGUUCUUCUAUGAUCUGCACACUACCGUUGCUGUCAACUUCCUCACUUUUUCGUUUCAAUCCACAUUUUUGAUAUGGCUCAAGCAAAGAAACGUUGCUUCUGUGAGUCAGGGUCUGGCUGCUUUGGAAGGUUGAUGUAGCAGCACUGCCCGAGCUAUCAGCGGCUGUUACAACAAUAUGCUCCACUGCAGGAGCUGGGAGGAGGAGGCCCUGGUCGUAAGCAGGGAUGUUGAAAUUUGCUACCUAGUUUCUUCGCACUGCAGAAGGCACUCGACGACACUGAUGGGGGCGAAAACACUUGCAGCUGUGAUGCCAUACCUAUAUUGAGAGAAAGGAAGAAUUAGACCAC
rnacentral:lncRNA from 1 species